GCGCUGAUGGCGCAAUGGUUAAGCGCUUGGCUGCUAACCAAAAGGUUGGUGGUUCGAACCCACCUAGUGGCU
rnacentral:tRNA from 1 species